rnacentral:rRNA from 1 species
AGCGUACACGGUGGAUGCCCUGGCAGUCAGAGGCGAUGAAGGACGUGCUAAUCUGCGAUAAGCGUCGGUAAGGUGAUAUGAACCGUUAUAACCGGCGAUUUCCGAAUGGGGAAACCCAGUGUGAUUCGUCACACUAUCAUUAACUGAAUCCAUAGGUUAAUGAGGCGAACCGGGGGAACUGAAACAUCUAAGUACCCCGAGGAAAAGAAAUCAACCGAGAUUCCCCCAGUAGCGGCGAGCGAACGGGGAGCAGCCCAGAGCCUGAAUCAGUGUGUGUGUUAGUGGAAGCGUCUGGAAAGGCGCGCGAUACAGGGUGACAGCCCCGUACACAAAAAUGCACAUGCUGUGAGCUCGAUGAGUAGGGCGGGACACGUGGUAUCCUGUCUGAAUAUGGGGGGACCAUCCUCCAAGGCUAAAUACUCCUGACUGACCGAUAGUGAACCAGUACCGUGAGGGAAAGGCGAAAAGAACCCCGGCGAGGGGAGUGAAAAAGAACCUGAAACCGUGUACGUACAAGCAGUGGGAGCACGCUUAGGCGUGUGACUGCGUACCUUUUGUAUAAUGGGUCAGCGACUUAUAUUCUGUAGCAAGGUUAACCGAAUAGGGGAGCCGAAGGGAAACCGAGUCUUAACUGGGCGUUAAGUUGCAGGGUAUAGACCCGAAACCCGGUGAUCUAGCCAUGGGCAGGUUGAAGGUUGGGUAACACUAACUGGAGGACCGAACCGACUAAUGUUGAAAAAUUAGCGGAUGACUUGUGGCUGGGGGUGAAAGGCCAAUCAAACCGGGAGAUAGCUGGUUCUCCCCGAAAGCUAUUUAGGUAGCGCCUCGUGAAUUCAUCUCCGGGGGUAGAGCACUGUUUCGGCAAGGGGGUCAUCCCGACUUACCAACCCGAUGCAAACUGCGAAUACCGGAGAAUGUUAUCACGGGAGACACACGGCGGGUGCUAACGUCCGUCGUGAAGAGGGAAACAACCCAGACCGCCAGCUAAGGUCCCAAAGUCAUGGUUAAGUGGGAAACGAUGUGGGAAGGCCCAGACAGCCAGGAUGUUGGCUUAGAAGCAGCCAUCAUUUAAAGAAAGCGUAAUAGCUCACUGGUCGAGUCGGCCUGCGCGGAAGAUGUAACGGGGCUAAACCAUGCACCGAAGCUGCGGCAGCGACACUAUGUGUUGUUGGGUAGGGGAGCGUUCUGUAAGCCUGUGAAGGUGUACUGUGAGGUAUGCUGGAGGUAUCAGAAGUGCGAAUGCUGACAUAAGUAACGAUAAAGCGGGUGAAAAGCCCGCUCGCCGGAAGACCAAGGGUUCCUGUCCAACGUUAAUCGGGGCAGGGUGAGUCGACCCCUAAGGCGAGGCCGAAAGGCGUAGUCGAUGGGAAACAGGUUAAUAUUCCUGUACUUGGUGUUACUGCGAAGGGGGGACGGAGAAGGCUAUGUUGGCCGGGCGACGGUUGUCCCGGUUUAAGCGUGUAGGCUGGUUUUCCAGGCAAAUCCGGAAAAUCAAGGCUGAGGCGUGAUGACGAGGCACUACGGUGCUGAAGCAACAAAUGCCCUGCUUCCAGGAAAAGCCUCUAAGCAUCAGGUAACAUCAAAUCGUACCCCAAACCGACACAGGUGGUCAGGUAGAGAAUACCAAGGCGCUUGAGAGAACUCGGGUGAAGGAACUAGGCAAAAUGGUGCCGUAACUUCGGGAGAAGGCACGCUGAUAUGUAGGUGAAGUCCCUUGCGGAUGGAGCUGAAAUCAGUCGAAGAUACCAGCUGGCUGCAACUGUUUAUUAAAAACACAGCACUGUGCAAACACGAAAGUGGACGUAUACGGUGUGACGCCUGCCCGGUGCCGGAAGGUUAAUUGAUGGGGUUAGCGGUAACGCGAAGCUCUUGAUCGAAGCCCCGGUAAACGGCGGCCGUAACUAUAACGGUCCUAAGGUAGCGAAAUUCCUUGUCGGGUAAGUUCCGACCUGCACGAAUGGCGUAAUGAUGGCCAGGCUGUCUCCACCCGAGACUCAGUGAAAUUGAACUCGCUGUGAAGAUGCAGUGUACCCGCGGCAAGACGGAAAGACCCCGUGAACCUUUACUAUAGCUUGACACUGAACAUUGAGCCUUGAUGUGUAGGAUAGGUGGGAGGCUUUGAAGUGUGGACGCCAGUCUGCAUGGAGCCGACCUUGAAAUACCACCCUUUAAUGUUUGAUGUUCUAACGUUGACCCGUAAUCCGGGUUGCGGACAGUGUCUGGUGGGUAGUUUGACUGGGGCGGUCUCCUCCUAAAGAGUAACGGAGGAGCACGAAGGUUGGCUAAUCCUGGUCGGACAUCAGGAGGUUAGUGCAAUGGCAUAAGCCAGCUUGACUGCGAGCGUGACGGCGCGAGCAGGUGCGAAAGCAGGUCAUAGUGAUCCGGUGGUUCUGAAUGGAAGGGCCAUCGCUCAACGGAUAAAAGGUACUCCGGGGAUAACAGGCUGAUACCGCCCAAGAGUUCAUAUCGACGGCGGUGUUUGGCACCUCGAUGUCGGCUCAUCACAUCCUGGGGCUGAAGUAGGUCCCAAGGGUAUGGCUGUUCGCCAUUUAAAGUGGUACGCGAGCUGGGUUUAGAACGUCGUGAGACAGUUCGGUCCCUAUCUGCCGUGGGCGCUGGAGAACUGAGGGGGGCUGCUCCUAGUACGAGAGGACCGGAGUGGACGCAUCACUGGUGUUCGGGUUGUCAUGCCAAUGGCACUGCCCGGUAGCUAAAUGCGGAAGAGAUAAGUGCUGAAAGCAUCUAAGCACGAAACUUGCCCCGAGAUGAGUUCU